GAUGAACGCUGGCGGCGUGCUUAACACAUGCAAGUCGAACGGGAAACUUUUCAUUGAAGCUUCGGCAGAUUUGGUCUGUUUCUAGUGGCGGACGGGUGAGUAACGCGUGGGUAACCUGCCUUAUACAGGGGGAUAACAACCAGAAAUGGUUGCUAAUACCGCAUAAGCGCACAGGACCGCAUGGUCCGGUGUGAAAAACUCCGGUGGUAUAAGAUGGACCCGCGUUGGAUUAGCUAGUUGGCAGGGUAACGGCCUACCAAGGCGACGAUCCAUAGCCGGCCUGAGAGGGUGAACGGCCACAUUGGGACUGAGACACGGCCCAGACUCCUACGGGAGGCAGCAGUGGGGAAUAUUGCACAAUGGGGGAAACCCUGAUGCAGCGACGCCGCGUGAAGGAAGAAGUAUCUCGGUAUGUAAACUUCUAUCAGCAGGGAAGAUAGUGACGGUACCUGACUAAGAAGCCCCGGCUAACUACGUGCCAGCCGCCGCAGUAA
rnacentral:rRNA from 1 species